AAAUGAAUAGACGGGGGCCCGCACAAGUGGUGGAGUAUGUGGUUUAAUUCGAUGCUACGCGAAAAACCUUACCUGGGCUUGACAUCCCGUGCUAACCUAUGAAAGUAGGCGUUCCCUUCGGGGACGCGGUGACAGGUGCUGCAUGGCUGUCGUCAGCUCGUGUUGUGAGAUGUUGGGUUAAGUCCCGCAACGAGCGCAACCCUCAUUAUUAGUUACCAUCAUUAAGUUGGGCACUCUAAUAAUACCGCUUGGCUAUAAGCCAGAGGAAGGUGGGGAUGACGUCAAGUCCUCAUGGCCUUUAUGCCCAGGGCUACACACGUACUACAAUGGAUGAUACAAAGCGUUGCAAGCUCGCAAGUUCAAGCAAAUCGCAAAAAAUCAUCCUCAGUUCGGAUUGGAGUCUGCAACUCGACUCCAUGAAGCUGGAAUCACUAGUAAUCGUUGAUCAGCAUGCAACGGUGAAUGCGUUCCCGGGCCUUGUACACACCGCCCGU
rnacentral:rRNA from 1 species